GAACGCUGGCGGCAGGCCUAACACAUGCAAGUCGAGCGGUAACAGGGGUAGCUUGCUACCCGCUGACGAGCGGCGGACGGGUGAGUAAUGCAUAGGAAUCUGCCCGAUAGUGGGGGAUAACCUGGGGAAACCCAGGCUAAUACCGCAUACGUCCUACGGGAGAAAGGGGGCUNCGGCUCCCGCUAUUGGAUGAGCCUAUGUCGGAUUAGCUAGUUGGUAAGGUAAUGGCUUACCAAGGCAACGAUCCGUAGCUGGUCUGAGAGGAUGAUCAGCCACAUCGGGACUGAGACACGGCCCGAACUCCUACGGGAGGCAGCAGUGGGGAAUAUUGGACAAUGGGGGCAACCCUGAUCCAGCCAUGCCGCGUGUGUGAAGAAGGCCCUCGGGUUGUAAAGCACUUUCAGCGAGGAAGAACGCCUAUCGGUUAAUACCCGGUAGGAAAGACAUCACUCGCAGAAGAAGCACCGGCUAACUCCGUGCCAGCAGCCGCGGUAAUACGGAGGGUGCAAGCGUUAAUCGGAAUUACUGGGCGUAAAGCGCGCGUAGGUGGCUUGAUAAGCCGGUUGUGAAAGCCCCGGGCUCAACCUGGGAACGGCAUCCGGAACUGUCAGGCUAGAGUGCAGGAGAGGAAGGUAGAAUUCCCGGUGUAGCGGUGAAAUGCGUANAGAUCGGGAGGAAUACCAGUGGCGAAGGCGGCCUUNUGGACUGACACUGACACUGAGGUGCGAANGCGUGGGUAGCAAACAGGAUUAAAUACCCUGGUAGUCCACGCCNUAAACNAUGUCANCANCCGUUGGUGCCUAAA
rnacentral:rRNA from 1 species